GUUCAGAAAAAAAAUAUAAAAACUUAUGCAAUAAAAACGACAAAUGAGUUCUGAUUCAAAACAAUGUAACAUGACGUUUUUUUUUUUUGUGAAAAUUCUUUAAGGUGAUAAAAUAUGUUAUAUUUUUAUGAAUGAAUUCACAACGCGUGCCAAAAUCUACUGCAUUUCUUUUGUGUAAUUUGCAAAUUAAACCAAAUUCAAGUGUGAUUUACAAAAAUAAUCAACAUUGCAAUUUUAAGUUUAACCACAAGGGUGUGUAAAAGCUUAGGUGGCGAGGUGGCGCGUGAUCUUUUUUUGCACGUGAUCAACAGACGUAAUUAAGCAUCGCCAGCGUAAACGUACUCAACGGACACAACCUGCUGUGAACAGGACCUACAUACACCCCAAAGGCUCUUUUCAGAGCCAUUUGACCAAGCAUCUUUGUACAUGCCGGUUUUCCUUCAGUAGUGCCAGUUUUCCUAAGAUUUUACCUCGUCCUCCACUGCCUCCAGUAAUUCCUGGUUUUAAGGUGGAGUAAUGGAGUAAAGAUGCAACGGAGCAGCUGAUAAGAAAACAUGCUUAAGACCAUCUUAAACGUGCACCAUCAAGAAAGGGAGGGGGCACCAGGUGAAAUCUUGCCUAGGGCAGCAAAUUGGCCAGGGCCGGCCCUGACU